rnacentral:rRNA from 1 species
UACAGAGGGUGCAAGCGUUGUUCGGAAUUACUGGGCGUAAAGGGCUCGUAGGCGGCCAACUAAGUCAGACGUGAAAUCCCUCGGCUUAACCGGGGAACUGCAUCUGAUACUGGAUGGCUUGAGUUCGGGAGAGGGUAGUGGAAUUCCCGGUGUAGUGGUGAAAUGCGUAGAUAUCUGGAGGAAUACCGGUGGCGAAGGCGGCAUCCUGGACCGGCAUUGACGCUGAGGAGCGAAAGCCAGGGGAGCAAACGGG